AUUGAACGCUGGCGGCAGGCUUAACACAUGCAAGUCGAACGAGUGGCGGACGGGUGAGUAAUGCCUGGGAAUCUGCCUUAUGGAGGGGGAUAACUACUGGAAACUGUAGCUAAUACCGCGUACCAUCGGAUGUGCCCAGAUGGGAUUAGCUAGUUGGUGCGGUAACGGCUCACCAAGCCGACGAUCUCUAGCUUGUCUGAGAGGAUGACCAGCCACCAGGGUACUGAGACAAGGCCCAUCAUCCUACGGGAGGCAGCAGUGGGGAAUAUUGUGCCAUGGGGGCAACCCUGACGCAACCAUGCCGCGUGUAUGGAGAAGGCCUUUGGGUUGUAAAGUUCUUUCCGUAGAGAAGCGUUAACUCCAGAAGGAGCACCGGGUAACUCCGUGCCAGCCGCCGCGGGAAUAC
rnacentral:rRNA from 1 species